GUCAACAUAUUGGUCACUACGGAAGGAACCUUGAAGAGUUCAAGGGGUACUGUUCUUACUGUGGAGCAGACUUCUUUUAAGAGAAAGUCUACUGGAAAGAAGAAGAUAAAAUUCACUAAGAAGCAGAAGAAAGAGAACAAGCCAAGGAAGGAAGUUCCUAAGAAGGUUGAAGCAAAGGAAAAGUGUUUCCACUAUAAUGC
rnacentral:lncRNA from 1 species